rnacentral:misc_RNA from 1 species
UACGGAGGGUGCAAGCAUUGAUCGGAUUUACUGGGCGUAAAGGGCGCGUAGGCGGUGAAGAAAGUCAGAUGUGAAAUUCCGGAACUCAAUUCCGGAGCUGCAUUUGAAACUUCCUCGCUUGAGGACAGGCGGAGAAAGCGGAAUUCCACGUGUAGCGGUGAAAUGCGUAGAUAUGUGGAAGAACACCGGUGGCGAAGGCGGCUUUCUAGCUUGUUCCUGACGCUGAUGCGCGAAAGCGUGGGGAGCAAACAGG